ACGCCGUGAUACUUCAGCGCCCCCGCGAUC
rnacentral:sRNA from 1 species